rnacentral:lncRNA from 1 species
CAAGAAUUGUCUGGAUUUAUCCAAGCCUAAUGAGAGGAAGGAUUAAGGCAUGGUUGACUGGCAAGCAUAUUUGCAAUCAUGCAACCAUACAUUUUCAGCAGGGACGGAGUCGUGAAGAGAUGCUACAAGGCCCAGAAAGAAAAAAGCAUCAUCAGACAAGGUUCCUAGGAAAACAUCAAUAGAGCAGCUGCAUGUGACAGAAGCUAUUCAGGGAUGAACUACUAGCUCCAACUUAUUCAUUGGUGCUACAUUGAGCGCAAGCUUUCUUCAUAUUGUUGUUCUUAGGAUCGGAAUCUUAGCUUUAUGUUUAAACCAGAUCAUUUCUGCAGAUGAUUUAUGCAGACAGACAUACUUUAGAUAUAGAUCAGUAGACAAUCACAUUCGUUCUGCAGAGUUUUGAGUUGAGAUAAUACCUUUAUUACAUUCUCAUCUUUUGUUUAUUCUAAUUGUUUGGCGCAUCAGAAUUGACAUCUAAUUAUCCUUCUUAACAUGAGAGUAUUACACAAUGAUUACAAUCAAUUGGAACAUAAGUGAAUCACAUAGCAAGUUUUGGAUAAAGAAGAUGCAAUUAGUUUUUCCCCAAUCAGAUAAGUAACAUCACGGAAUUUUGAAAGAAAGUUAAGUUUGUCAGGCAAAGCCUCCAUUGGAAAUUAUAAGGUAAGGGUAAGGUAUGCAUACACACUACCCUCCGCAUAACCCACUUAUGGGAUUACGCUGGGUUUGUUGUUAGUUAAGCUUGUGAGAGUUCCUCAAAUGGGGAUUUCAUGCAGGACAUAGAUCAUCAUGAAAUCCAAAAGAAGAGAAGCAAGAUUCACAAUUAAUUUAGAAGUCCUUAGAAAUUCAAAUGCUCCCAGGCACAAUUACCGAGGUAGCUUUAUCUCUCUUCUGAAAGCUAAACAACUACCUCUCCGGCAAUUCUCUGGCAAGGAACUUAGUUUCUCCUUCGUCAUUCAGCGGUGAUUGCUCAGAAACUGGGUGUAAAUUCAACAUGGGGAAGAAAAGAUUUAUUUUAACUCAGGUUUUAAAUCUUAUGAGAUCACAAGAACCUAUUCAAGGUCUGAAAUCUGGUAUGACUGGGGGGAACGCAGCAGGAACAUGUUUCGGAGAUUAAGUUUCAGCCAUAAAAUCAUGAAGUGGACUGUCUAUGUUCUUAAAAUGGCAUCAAAGGUUCAGACUAUGUCCGUCUUACGUUGGAAAACAAAUGAGUUCUUCUCUCAGUUUAUGGCACAUUGAAGUAUAAUAAAUACGGCAGAUAUAUCAGCAUUAUUGCUAUUACAGGAGACAGCAGAUCAGUUACAAUAAUUCCAGAAGGUACAUUUAAAGAAGGAUGGGGGAAGAUAGCAUUAAAGAUGGAUAGAUUCAUUACUGAUGCAAUCAUAGCGGAAGAAAAAGCCUUCAAGCCAGUCAUUGCCUCCUCUUAUGCUGAACAACUCAGGGCCAACAAAUGGACGACAACAGAGACCAAAACUUCGCCGAUCAAGACUCAAAAAUCCAGAAUUAUUAUGUCUGGUAGCCAUAAGGCUUCAGAUAAUGAUCUUCUAGGAAGAUGCAUUGUUGGCAAAUUUCCUGAUUCGUUGCAGGAAAUACCAACACUCAAUGAUGUCCGGAGAUGGGUCGCUUCAGUUUGGAAAUCUGCUAAUGGAGUAAAUGUUUAUGAGAUGAAUGACUCAUUCUUCUUGUUUGAAAUGCCGACAAGAAAAGCUGCUGAACAUGUGCUGACAGGGGAGUGGAGAUGGAAAAAGGUAAAGCUGAUACUUGAUUGGUGGUCUCCCACAGUUGGCUGCUGGCCAAAAAAUGCAGAAAGGAACUGGGUCUGGAUCCGACUUUUAGGGCUUCCUCUGAAUUUAUGGUCCCAAAAGGUUUUUAGCGAAAUCGGUAAUUUUUGCUGGGGAUGGAUUGAAACAGAAGAAGAAACUAGUCUGAAGAAUCACUUGUGCUGGGCCAGAAUUAAAGUGAAGGGAGACGAUACCAAUGUUCCGAAAGAAGUGGAAGUUGAAAGUGAUGGUUUUAUUUACACCAUCCCUAUACGGUGUGAAAUUCCGGCGAGGGUGGAGGCCGAAAAUCUCUCUGGCAGUGUUUCUUCUGACCAAGCCGAGGAGAACCAGACCUGUGAGGAAGGUGAUAGAAUACGUUUGACCACGUGGGUAGGAGUAAUCAAUUCAAAUCUGUUGACACGUGAGAAGGCACGUGCUAGGGACAAAGGCUGGCUUGAUCGCAAUAGUUGUCAUUAAUAAGGAUUUGGGUUAUAUGCCCAUUAACUGUUAUGGGCCAACAGAUCCUUUGCUUUUAAAUACAGCCCAAGAGUCACCAGCUAUUUUAGAUGGGGAUUUUUAUCUAUC